rnacentral:rRNA from 1 species
AUAUAAAAGUUAUUAUAGAAAUAUUUAAUAGAUUUUUUUAUUUUGAGUUUAUAUAUAAAUUAAAUUUUUUGUUUAUUUAGUAUUAGAGGUAUAGAUGAAGUGUUUUUAAAGUACUGUGAAGGAUAAAAAUGUUUAAUUUUUUUAUAGUAGAUGAAUUAUUCGUACCUUUUGUAUAAUGGGUUGAUGAUAUAUUGGUUUUAUAUAUAAAUUUUUCUCGAAUUAAAAAGAUUUACUUAAUAUAAUGUGUUGACGUUGUAUAGUCAUAUGUUUAGUGUUAAGUGGUAGUGAUAUGUUAAUCGUUUUUUAGGAUAGCUAGUUUAUUGGUUUGGAAUAUUUAAGUAUUGUGAUAUUAAUAUAACUUGGUUUGUUUAAUAUUAUUUAUAUCAUGGGGGAUAAGCUUCAUGAUAUUUAUAGAAAUGUUUUGUAUUUAGUUACAUUUAAAGUAGAGUUAAUAACGCUUUUCUUUAUAAGUAGUUUAAAGUGUUUUGUUUGUUUGUUUCAAGUUUAGUUGGCCAUAAAUAUUUAUAAAUUGAUUUAAAUAAAUAUAAUGUUAAUAUGAGUAUUAUUUUGUUUUAUAAAUUUAAUUUUUUUAAUUGUAGAUAAUAAGUGUUUUAUUAGUGGUUAAGUAGGAUAAAGGAAUUCGGCAAUUAUUAAUCUCGCCUGUUUAUCAAAAACAUGUCUCUUUGUAAAUUUUAGAUGAGGAGUCGGGCCUGCUCGGUGAUUAGAUUUAACAGCUGCGGUAUUUUAACUGUACUAAGGUAGCAUAAUAGUUUGCCUUAUAAUUUGAGGCUGGAAUGAAUGGUUUGACGAAGGUUAAUCUGUCUCUAUCUUAUUUGGUAGAAUUUAAUUUUUGAAGUGAUAAAGCUUAGAUUUUUUAAAGGGACGAGAAGACCCUAUUGAGCUUAUAAUUUUAAUUUAUUAUAUUAUAUAAUAUUGGAUAAAUUUUAAUUGGGGUGAUUAAGGAAUAAAUAUAUGAGGCAGUAACUUCCUUAAAAAUAAAUAGAUACAGAUUUGUGGUUUAACCAAUUAUAUAUUGCUUAUAAUAUAGUUACCAUAGGGAUAACAGCGUAAUUUAUUUAGAGAGUUCUUAUUAAAAAAUAAGAUUGCGACCUCGAUGUUGGAUUAAAGUGACCUUAAGGUGUAUAAGCUUUAAUAGGUAAAUCUGUUCGAUUUUUAAAACUUUACAUGAUCUGAGUUCAGACCGGCGUGAGCCAGGUUGGUUUCUAUCUUUUAAAUAUAUUGAUAGCUUCUUUUAGUACGAAAGGACCAAAGAUAGCUAAAUUGUUAAUUAAAGUGUUGGUGUAUUAGAUAAAUUAAUAUGGGUUAAUAAAUUAAUUAUUUUACAUUGAUCAUAUAAAAUGGGUU